CUCCCGCUCGAGUCUAGCCCCGGGCUCCGCAGCGAAGGAAGCGUAGAGGACGUCCCACCCCCGCAGGGAACUGUGCCUGCUGCCCCCGCAGGGCCCCGCACCGCCCCGGCUCUCCCCCCACUCGCCCCCCAGAAGGUCGGCUUCGGUGGAGAGAAACCGGAGCAGCAAUGCCUUUUCCCCCCCUCUCCUCCACUUUUUUUUGUUGUUGUUGUUGCUUUCCCACGCUGGCUGAAUGUGACUUGACCCCAUUUCAAAAAAGUUUGACAUAGUGCUUCAACAUUUCCGCAUUCCUCCGCGACUACAAAGGCUGCAGCCGCCUCCUUCUGCUUUCUGUCUCUGCUCUCUGUCUUCACACUCAAUGAAAUCCUUCAUGCGCCUCUCCCGAAGCCUGCCAAGCACCACAAGGGUCGCCACCAGCACAGCGACAAGAGGCCACACCGGGGACCGCGAUUCCCGCGUGUGCGCACACGCAGAUGCACCUCUGUGCACACGGUCGGGCGCGCUUUGGGUACCAGGGUUGCUCACUGCGGGGCGUGUGUUUAACUCCAAUAUUUUAAAUUAUAAAAGUAAACUUGGAAACUAAAGCAAACGUGCGUCUUCGUGGGGCUCCAAGCCUGGGCACUGGCCGGUUGCGUGCACUCUUCUGUGCAUAACACGCCCGCAGGAAGCCUGCGCUAACAUUUAUCUCGUGGAGGGGAACGUGGAGCCCACACCCACACCUCAGCGAGCUGGAGGGGGAGCUUUGGUGGGGGAAAUAUGGGGGAUAGAAGCACAUUUUCCAGCAUGGAGUCCCCAGAGGCAGUGCAUUUUAAACCCUAAAUGUGAAUUUAUCCCACCCACCCGAGCGCACAGCUCCUCACCUGAGGGGCCCAGUCGCGUCGGGCCUCCCGAGGGGGCUGCGAGUGUCAGUCGGCUCUCCGCACGUGUCCACGGCCUGGUGGAGCAGCGCUGCAAGCUAUUUGGCAUAUGAAGGUCUUGACCUGAGAAAACCAUCUUGGAUAACCACAGCAAGGAAAAGGAAAAAUGCAACACCUAGGAGAUUUCAGUAAACAGUAGAAUCAUGCCAACCUAAUCUGUGUUAAAAUGCUUGGAAUGUGGGAGCCGCUGAUGAUGCCUGUUGUCUGUGUGUCUGACUGAAUCCUUUCUUUUCUCAGAGCAGCAAAGCAAAGCCUGGGAACCAGGCCAAAUGCCUGCCACUUACCUUAAAUUGAUCAGCCACUUUGAGAUUAAAACCCCUGAAAGCUGCCACACCGUGAAAACAAGGCCUCCUUCACAUUAAAGGCAAAUUGCGACUUUGGGUUUGCUGUGAUCUUUUUUCCAUUUUAUCCAGUUUUUCACAGUGUACUUUUUUUCCCCCUUUCCAUUUAUGCUCCAAUAUAGAAGCCAAUAGUUACAGCAUCUUGGCCAAGCAUUCAUUAAGGUUUAUAAGAACAAAAUUUAUGGUUAUUUAGGAGUUGGCGCAAAGGCAGACUGUUGCUGGAAAAAGAAAAAGAAAUACAGGGGAAUGAGAAAGCUCUUUGCCCCAUCUUUGCAAUAUUUAUGAAGUUGCUCUGCAACGGACCUAUUUAAUUGUGCAUGGAUAUAAGUACUUCCUCCAAACUACACACUCUUAAAGCUCCACAAGGGCAAGG